GCACAACGCGAAGAACCUUACCAGGCCUUGACAUGCAGAGAACUUUCCAGAGAUGGAUUGGUGCCUUCGGGAACUCUGACACAGGUGCUGCAUGGCUGUCGUCAGCUCGUGUCGUGAGAUGUUGGGUUAAGUCCCGUAACGAGCGCAACCCUGUCCUUAGUUACCAGCACGUUAUGGUGGGCACUCUAAGGAGACUGCCGGUGACAAACCGGAGGAAGGUGGGGAUGACGUCAGGUCAUCAUGGCCCUUAGGCCUGGGCUACACACGUGCUACAAUGGUCGAUACAGAGGGUUGCCAAGCCGCGAGGUGGAGCUAAUCUCACAAAACCGAUCGUAGUCCGGAUCGCAGUCUGCAACUCGACUGCGUGAAGUCGGAAUCGCUAGUAAUCGCGAAUCAGAAUGUCGCGGUGAAUACGUU
rnacentral:rRNA from 1 species